rnacentral:tRNA from 1 species
GGCUGGUUAGUUCAGUCGACUGAGCAUGGUGCUGAUAAUGCCAAGGUCGCGGGUUCGUUUCCCUUUUCAGUCC